ACGGCUCAGUAACACGUGGCUAACCUGCCCUUGGGACGGGAUCACCCCCGGGAAACUGGGGCUAAUCCCCGAUAGGUGAAGAACUCUGGAAUGAGUCUUUGCCCAAAGGGCGUCAGAUCAUGCUUCUGACGUCGCCCAAGGAUGGGGCCGCGACCGAUCAGGUUGUUGGUGAGGUAAUGGCCCACCAAGCCUAUAACCGGUGCGGGCCGUGAGAGCGGGAGCCCGGAGAUGGGCACUGAGACAAGGGCCCAGGUCCUACGGGGCGCAGCAGUCGCGAAAACUUUGCAAUACACGAAAGUGUGACAGGGUUAUCCCGAGUGCCGACCGCUGAGGUUGGCUUUUACCCAGUCUAGAAAGCUGGGGGAAUAAGGAGAGGGCAAGUCUGGUGUCAGCCGCCGCGGUAAUACCAGCUCUCCGAGUGGUGUGGACGUUUAUUGGGCCUAAAGCAUCCGUAGCUGGCUGAACAAGUCCCCUGUUAAACCCACCGAUUUAAUCGUUGGCGUGCGGGGGAUACUGCUCGGCUAGGGGACGAGAGAGGCAGACGGUAUUCCCGGGGUAGGGGUGAAAUCCUAUAAUCCCGAGAAGACCACCAGUGGCGAAGGCUGUCUGCUAGAACGCGCCCGACGGUGAGGGAUGAAAGCUGGGGGAGCGAACCGGAUUAGAUACCCGGGUAGUCCCAGCUGUAAACGAUGCAGACUAGGUGUUUGGACGGCCACGUGCCGUUCUAGUGCCGCAGGGAAGCUGUUAAGUCUCCCGCCUGGGGGGUACGACCGCAAGAUUGAAAAUUAAAGGAAUUGGCGGGGGAGCAC
rnacentral:rRNA from 1 species